rnacentral:rRNA from 1 species
UACGUAGGGGGCAAGCGUUGUCCGGAUUUAUUGGGCGUAAAGAGCGUGUAGGCGGCCAUACAGGUCAGCUGUGAAACUCGAGGCUCAACCUCGAGACGUCGGUUGAAACCGUAUGGCUAGAGUCCGGAAGAGGAGAGUGGAAUUCCCGGGUGAUAGCGGUGAAAUGCGCAGAUAUCGGGAAGAACACCCGUGGCGAAGGCGGCUCUCUGGGACGGUACUGACGCUGAGACGCGAAAGCGUGGGGAGCGAACGAGG